AGCCCAGAGCCUGAAUCAGUGUGUGUGUUAGUGGAAGCGUCUGGAAAGGCGCGCGAUACAGGGUGACAGCCCCGUACACAAAAAUGCACAUGCUGUGAGCUCGAUGAGUAGGGCGGGACACGUGGUAUCCUGUCUGAAUAUGGGGGGACCAUCCUCCAAGGCUAAAUACUCCUGACUGACCGAUAGUGAACCAGUACCGUGAGGGAAAGGCGAAAAGAACCCCGGCGAGGGGAGUGAAAAAGAACCUGAAACCGUGUACGUACAAGCAGUGGGAGCACAGAGCAAUCUGUGUGACUGCGUACCUUUUGUAUAAUGGGUCAGCGACUUAUAUUCUGUAGCAAGGUUAACCGAAUAGGGGAGCCGAAGGGAAACCGAGUCUUAACUGGGCGUUAAGUUGCAGGGUAUAGACCCGAAACCCGGUGAUCUAGCCAUGGGCAGGUUGAAGGUUGGGUAACACUAACUGGAGGACCGAACCGACUAAUGUUGAAAAAUUAGCGGAUGACUUGUGGCUGGGGGUGAAAGGCCAAUCAAACCGGGAGAUAGCUGGUUCUCCCCGAAAGCUAUUUAGGUAGCGCCUCGUGAAUUCAUCUCCGGGGGUAGAGCACUGUUUCGGCAAGGGGGUCAUCCCGACUUACCAACCCGAUGCAAACUGCGAAUACCGGAGAAUGUUAUCACGGGAGACACACGGCGGGUGCUAACGUCCGUCGUGAAGAGGGAAACAACCCAGACCGCCAGCUAAGGUCCCAAAGUCAUGGUUAAGUGGGAAACGAUGUGGGAAGGCCCAGACAGCCAGGAUGUUGGCUUAGAAGCAGCCAUCAUUUAAAGAAAGCGUAAUAGCUCACUGGUCGAGUCGGCCUGCGCGGAAGAUGUAACGGGGCUAAACCAUGCACCGAAGCUGCGGCAGCGACACUGUGUGUUGUUGGGUAGGGGAGCGUUCUGUAAGCCUGUGAAGGUGUGCUGUGAGGCAUGCUGGAGGUAUCAGAAGUGCGAAUGCUGACAUAAGUAACGAUAAAGCGGGUGAAAAGCCCGCUCGCCGGAAGACCAAGGGUUCCUGUCCAACGUUAAUCGGGGCAGGGUGAGUCGACCCCUAAGGCGAGGCCGAAAGGCGUAGUCGAUGGGAAACAGGUUAAUAUUCCUGUACUUGGUGUUACUGCGAAGGGGGGACGGAGAAGGCUAUGUUGGCCGGGCGACGGUUGUCCCGGUUUAAGCGUGUAGGCUGGUUUUCCAGGCAAAUCCGGAAAAUCAAGGCUGAGGCGUGAUGACGAGGCACUACGGUGCUGAAGCAACAAAUGCCCUGCUUCCAGGAAAAGCCUCUAAGCAUCAGGUAACAUCAAAUCGUACCCCAAACCGACACAGGUGGUCAGGUAGAGAAUACCAAGGCGCUUGAGAGAACUCGGGUGAAGGAACUAGGCAAAAUGGUGCCGUAACUUCGGGAGAAGGCACGCUGAUAUGUAGGUGAAGUCCCUCGCGGAUGGAGCUGAAAUCAGUCGAAGAUACCAGCUGGCUGCAACUGUUUAUUAAAAACACAGCACUGUGCAAACACGAAAGUGGACGUAUACGGUGUGACGCCUGCCCGGUGCCGGAAGGUUAAUUGAUGGGGUCAGCGCAAGCGAAGCUCUUGAUCGAAGCCCCGGUAAACGGCGGCCGUAACUAUAACGGUCCUAAGGUAGCGAAAUUCCUUGUCGGGUAAGUUCCGACCUGCACGAAUGGCGUAAUGAUGGCCAGGCUGUCUCCACCCGAGACUCAGUGAAAUUGAACUCGCUGUGAAGAUGCAGUGUACCCGCGGCAAGACGGAAAGACCCCGUGAACCUUUACUAUAGCUUGACACUGAACAUUGAGCCUUGAUGUGUAGGAUAGGUGGGAGGCUUUGAAGUGUGGACGCCAGUCUGCAUGGAGCCGACCUUGAAAUACCACCCUUUAAUGUUUGAUGUUCUAACGUGGACCCGUGAUCCGGGUUGCGGACAGUGUCUGGUGGGUAGUUUGACUGGGGCGGUCUCCUCCUAAAGAGUAACGGAGGAGCACGAAGGUUGGCUAAUCCUGGUCGGACAUCAGGAGGUUAGUGCAAUGGCAUAAGCCAGCUUGACUGCGAGCGUGACGGCGCGAGCAGGUGCGAAAGCAGGUCAUAGUGAUCCGGUGGUUCUGAAUGGAAGGGCCAUCGCUCAACGGAUAAAAGGUACUCCGGGGAUAACAGGCUGAUACCGCCCAAGAGUUCAUAUCGACGGCGGUGUUUGGCACCUCGAUGUCGGCUCAUCACAUCCUGGGGCUGAAGUAGGUCCCAAGGGUAUGGCUGUUCGCCAUUUAAAGUGGUACGCGAGCUGGGUUUAGAACGUCGUGAGACAGUUCGGUCCCUAUCUGCCGUGGGCGCUGGAGAACUGAGGGGGGCUGCUCCUAGUACGAGAGGACCGGAGUGGACGCAUCACUGGUGUUCGGGUUGUCAUGCCAAUGGCACUGCCCGGUAGCUAAAUGCGGAAGAGAUAAGUGCUGAAAGCAUCUAAGCACGAAACUUGCCCCGAGAUGAGUUCUCCCUGACCCUUUAAGGGUCCUGAAGGAACGUUGAAGACGACGACGUUGAUAGGCCGGGUGUGUAAGCGCAGCGAUGCGUUGAGCUAACCGGUACUAAUGAACCGUGAGGCUUAACCUUACAACGCCGAAGGUGUUU
rnacentral:rRNA from 1 species